rnacentral:rRNA from 1 species
UGGGGAAUAUUGGACAAUGGGCGAAAGCCUGAUCCAGCCAUGCCGCGUGAGUGACGAAGGCCUUAGGGUUGUAAAGCUCUUUUGGCGGGGAAGAUAAUGACGGUACCCGCAGAAUAAGCUCCGGCUAACUUCGUGCCAGCAGCCGCGGUAAUACGAAGGGAGCUAGCGUUGUUCGGAAUCACUGGGCGUAAAGCGCACGUAGGCGGAUUGUUUAGUCAGGGGUGAAAUCCCGGAGCUCAACUUCGGAACUGCCUUUGAUACUGGCAAUCUCGAGUCCGAUAGAGGUGGGUGGAAUUCCUAGUGUAGAGGUGAAAUUCGUAGAUAUUAGGAAGAACACCAGUGGCGAAGGCGGCUCACUGGUCCGGUACUGACGCUGAGGUGCGAAAGCGUGGGGAGCAAACAGGAUUAGAUACCCCCGUAGUCCCUGAGCGGGCUGGCAAGGCGCAU